rnacentral:rRNA from 1 species
GACGAACGCUGGCGGCGUGCUUAACACAUGCAAGUCGAACGAAGAGCGAUGGAAGCUUGCUUCUAUCAAUCUUAGUGGCGAACGGGUGAGUAACGCGUAAUCAACCUGCCCUUCAGAGGGGGACAACAGUUGGAAACGACUGCUAAUACCGCAUACGAUCUAAUCUCGGCAUCGAGGAUAGAUGAAAGGUGGCCUCUACAUGUAAGCUAUCACUGAAGGAGGGGAUUGCGUCUGAUUAGCUAGUUGGCGGGGUAACGGCCCACCAAGGCGAUGAUCAGUAGCCGGUCUGGGAGGAUGAACGGCCACAUUGGGACUGAGACACGGCCCAGACUCCUACGGGAGGCAGCAGUGGGGAAUCUUCCGCAAUGGACGAAAGUCUGACGGAGCAACGCCGCGUGAGUGAUGACGGCCUUCGGGUUGUAAAGCUCUGUUAAUCGGGACGAAAGGCCUUCUUGCGAAUAGUGAGAAGGAUUGACGGUACCGGAAUAGAAAGCCACGGCUAACUACGUG